GGAGCUGUGCUGGGGAAGGGAAACCAAGGUUUGGAACCACACUAGCCUUCACAUUCCUGGGAGGAUACAACCCUCGCCUGGACGGGGAAGAUAGCUCUUUCUCUUUAUUUUUUCUUUUUUAUUUUUUGCCUUUCUGUUUUUAUUUUUGGAGGGGAGCGCCCAGUAAUUGUCUUGAACACAUGCUUCUCCCUCCCUCCUUCCUCCAGCCACCAGCGACAGAGAGUCCCCUUUUUUGCAUUUAUCAUUUUCCUUCCCCUUUCUUUAUUAAAGGUCCGGGAGUGGCGGCGGCCAAUCAGCGCUCGGCUUCCAUUUUGUGAGUUCAACUCGUAGGCUUCCCCGGCUUUUCGCGUGGAUCUGGUUGCAGACGCCCUCGGUCUCUCUUCUCGGGCUGCCGAGGCGAAGCAGCCGCCUCGCCGGGGCUUCGUGGUGGUGUAUUUCAUAUUGGGGCUCUUUUCGGGGUUUGUAAUUUGGCCGUGGGUAGGUAAUUGGCUGGAGCAGGGCGGCAGGGUGCGGCAGCCAAUCAGCGCGCGGCUUCUAUAGGGCUUGAGUUAUUAGACGCUGAUCUCAAAACAUCCUUCAUCAGACUCCAAGGAGAGGCCAACAGAUGAGGGAGCCAUUUUUCUGCAAUGGAAUUAAAUGGCCAAGUGGGACUCACACUUGGAAGAAUGAAGACCUUUUAAAAAGAUCUGGAUUUUUCCUUAUGACUUGGAAUCCAUCUUUGUCUUGUAUAACUAGGUCAUAGCACACUAUUAAUGUCAGCAGUUAACAGUUUUGAAUUCAAAAAAACCUAAAGCACUAAACAGCCCUCAGCGAAGCCGCCUUUUUGCCAGCCCAACCCUGGAAAGUUUGCAGUCGUGGAAGGAGCAGAAAUACCACGAGUGUAACUUACAAAGAAGCUUUUUCUUCUAGACGCCAUGGCGCCGGGCUGAGUGGGUCUUGGCCGGAGAUCGGAGCCAUGUCUGUGUUAUCCCCACUGUAGACAAUCCUUGCUUCCUCUGGACAUCUGGAGCAGGCCCAAUUUGACUGAGAGCCUUCCCCCACUAAGGAAUUCCUGGACAAUGGAGAGUGCCCCAGGCCCCCUGAACAUCUUGCUGA
rnacentral:lncRNA from 1 species